CCUACGGGUGGCUGCAGUGGGGAAUAUUGCACAAUGGGCGCAAGCCUGAUGCAGCCAUGCCGCGUGUGUGAAGAAGGCCUUCGGGUUGUAAAGCACUUUCAGCGGGGAGGAAGGCGGUGAGGUUAAUAACCUCAUCGAUUGACGUUACCCGCAGAAGAAGCACCGGCUAACUCCGUGCCAGCAGCCGCGGUAAUACGGAGGGUGCAAGCGUUAAUCGGAAUUACUGGGCGUAAAGUGCACGCAGGCGGUCUGUCAAGUCGGAUGUGAAAUCCCCGGGCUCAACCUGGGAACUGCAUUCGAAACUGGCAGGCUAGAGUCUUGUAGAGGGGGGUAGAAUUCCAGGUGUAGCGGUGAAAUGCGUAGAGAUCUGGAGGAAUACCGGUGGCGAAGGCGGCCCCCUGGACAAAGACUGACGCUCAGGUGCGAAAGCGUGGGGAGCAAACAGGAUUAGAUACCCGUGUAGUC
rnacentral:rRNA from 1 species